UAAUCCCCCUUUCUGGUUAAUUAAAUCCUCAGACUGGUGCUGUGUUCCUAGCCUCUGGCCUCUCUGUGGGGAGGGGGGACUACCGGGGGAAGGUAGGAACCCAGGGCUUAUCCCUGGGAAUGUGGGGUCCAGCAGGAGGCA
ensembl:miRNA